rnacentral:rRNA from 1 species
UACGUAGGGUGCAAGCGUUGUCCGGAAUUAUUGGGCGUAAAGAGCUCGUAGGCGGUCUGUCGCGUCGGCUGUGAAAACUCGGGGCUCAACCCCGAGCCUGCAGUCGAUACGGGCAGACUAGAGUCCGGCAGGGGAGACUGGAAUUCCUGGUGUAGCGGUGAAAUGCGCAGAUAUCGGGAGGAACACCGGUGGCGAAGGCGGUUCUCUGGGCCUGACCUGACGCUGAGGCGCGAAAGCCAGGGGAGCAAACGGG